rnacentral:tRNA from 1 species
AUUCUCUUAGCUUAAUGGCAAAGCAUAAUACUUCUAAUAUUAUAAUCUAUGUUCAAUUCAUAGAGGGAAUA